rnacentral:rRNA from 1 species
UACGAGGGGGGCAAGCGUUGUUCGGAAUUAUUGGGCGUAAAGGGUGCGUAGGCGGUUUGGUAAGUCUUAUGUGAAAUCUACAGGCUCAACUUGUAGUCUGCAUGAGAAACUGCCGGGCUUGAGUAUGGGAGAGGUGAGUGGAAUUCCUGGUGUAGCGGUGAAAUGCGUAGAUAUCAGGAGGAACACCUGCGGUGUAGACGGCUUACUGGACGGUAACUGACGCUGAGGCACGAAAGCGUGGGUAGCAAACAGG